UCAUCUUCAAUUCUUUGAUUCUGCCCAAAAUUUCAGUUUGUGAAGCAAGUAUAUUUUAUCUUGCUCCAUUAUGUCUGUAAAUUUUUCUAGACCUUCUAGUAUCCUUAUAUGUUCCCUCCUCCAAGUUGUGGCUCAAUCCCUUUGACCAUUUGCCCUGUGGAAUUUCUCCAAGUUUCUAGUUAGAAUAAAUCUUUCCAAAGCAAGUGCUAUUUUGGUUCAUCCAAAUGGCAUGAAACUCCUUGGGAAUCUUAAUAUCUUCAAAUUAUUGAGCCAUACCAUUUUCAGCUCAAUUGAUGCAACUAUGUGAGUGCAUCAUCCAAAUUCUCAUUUCUGACCACUGGGUCACUUUCUACAGCAACCACCCUCUAAACUCCUCCUCUUAAGCUGAUAUCUUGUGAUCUUAGUCACCUUAGAGUGUGAUAAUCACCAGACAAAAUAUUUACCACGUUACCAAGCUGUUUUAACCACAGCAAGUUACAAACACCUUCUUACUGAUUUACUUUUGGAGCUAAGUGCAAAUCUCUUCUUUGCCCCUGGACCGAUUUAUUUCUUCAGUUGGACUAAGAGCACCAAGGUCCAUCCAAUGGACAUGGUUGGUCUCGCCAAGGAGCGCCGGUUGCGCCAGUGCGCGUGGUGAUCACGCUUGCGUCAUGGCUGCAGUCGUGCUCUGGCUUGUUCCGGCCACUAUGCUCGUCUCCUCCCUCCUCGUCUCGACCUCAAACCUUGUCCAGGAGCUCGCCCGUGCUCGACUGCGUCGCCCUGCAUCGGUUGCUCGUCGUGGUUCGCCAUAAAUGCGCCGCUAGCUCCAUGCCCGUGUCGUGCCCCGCCUCUGUCCUCCAUUAGAGCACUGCUCAAGCUCGUUUGUGAUGCUCCAGAGCCUUCCCCGUGCCUAUAUAAGGGACCCCCGACCUCCUCCGCAGCUCACAGCUCCCUCCCCCGCCUCAUUUGCCCUCUGGAAUCGCCGCAUCUCGCCGUUGUUCACCGUCACCCUCCAUGGCCGCCUCGGCCUCGGCUUGGGUCCGGCCACCACAGGCCUCCCCACACCUCUCCUCCACGUCCAUCGACCUCCCCUCGUCCCACUCAGCCGCCUUACCCCCUUGCCCCCUCGCCGGAGCGGCCGCAUCACCGAAGAACCCCGUCACCCGAAGCUCUCUGCCUCUCCCAUGGCGCCGCCUCUCCCCUCCGUCCCGUGCCUCCCCGGUAGCCGCCUUUCCUCUGGAUGGGUGCGGCUGGCCGCUGCGGUCCCGCCGGUGGCCGCGCCACGGCUGGGGAUCGCCGGAGCCAGCCGGCCCCUUGGGCUCUUCCCUCCCCUGCCGCUGCUCUGCUUCACGCGAGGCACAGGCGCGGGAGGAAGGAGACGAGCGCCCAUGCCCCCUCGCCCUGCGCCUGGGACCCACGCGCCAGUGGCCCAGGGCCCAGGUCCACGUGGCACGUGGAAGCGUAUUUUCGAGAGGACCCGUUGGUGAUAAUUGUUUUUCACAGAUUAAUCCCUGUUCUUCCAACCUUCACAACUUUUCAACCGUAACUCCAAAUGAGCCCCUCCGAGAGAGAACUGUUUCCGGCAAAUCUUUCC